GCUGCUGCCGGGCAGGCAGAGGAGCUAGGUUCCUGGUCCCCCAGCAGUUGCUGCCUGCUGGUCCUCCACCUCAGCCUCAGCCUGCCCUGGAGGGGACAGUGCUCAGUGGCUGCCUUGCCUGUCGGGAAGCAUCCUGGCACCCCUCUCCCUGAUGUGGAAGCGCUGCUCCAGCACGGAACUCUGUGACGUUUGUGUGUGGUGUGGUGGUUGUCACGGGAGGCAGCGGCAGCCAUGUCACUCUCCACAGACACAUGGUAGGUCUGAAGAAAUGAAUGGAUGAGUGUGUAGGUUUUCUAAAGAGUUCUCCAGCCUACGGACUGCCCAGCGAGCUGCCUCUAGCUUCUCAUUCUGAUGCCUGUACUGGAGACACCACAAUAAACAUCUCUUUGAAGUCGA